AAGUUUAUGAUCAAGAGUUUAACCGAGUUCCCACGGGUAUGACUAAGUUUGCCGUUUACUUGUAAUUUCUGUGAUGUUCCAAGUUCGUCUCCCGAGUUACUAAGUUCCUCUCCCGAGUUACUCUAGAGCCAACAACGUCUACCGACGUGUUGAAAAAUCAUCACAUGGUAAAAAUGACUUUGUUUUAUUUAACUUUAAGUGUGGAUUUAUUUUUUCAUUUUAGUUUUUCCACUUAAGGAAUUUCAUUGCAUCUGUCUUUUCUUGAAAAAGUGGUU